rnacentral:rRNA from 1 species
AUUGCGUAGAUAUCUAGAGGAAUACCUGUGGCGAAAGCGACCUCCUGGACAAAAACUGACGCUGAGGUGCGAAAGCGUGGGGAGCAAACAGGAUUAGAUACCCUGGUAGUCCAUGCUGUAAACGAUGUCGACUUGGAGGUUGUUUCCUUGAGAAGUGGCUUCCGAAGCUAACGCAUUAAGUCGACCGCCUGGGGAGUACGGCCGCAAGGCUAAAACUCAAAUGAAUUGACGGGGGCCCGCACAAGCGGUGGAGCAUGUGGUUUAAUUCGAUGCAACGCGAAGAACCUUACCUGGUCUUGACAUCCAUAAAAUUUUUUAGAGAUAAAAAAGUGCCUUUACCGGAAUUAUGAGACAGGUGCUGCAUGGCUGUCGUCAGCUCGUGUUGUGAAAUGUUGGGUUAAGUCCCGCAACGAGCGCAACCCUUGUUCUCUGUUGCCAUCAGGUUAUGCUGGGAACUCAGAGGAGACUGCCGGUUAUAAGCUGGAGGAAGGUGGGGACGACGUCAAGUCACCAUGGCCCUUACGACCAGGGCUACACACGUGCUACAAUGGCAUAUACAAAGAGAAGCAAAUCUGCGAAGACAAGCAAAACUCAUAAAGUAUGUCUUAGUUCGGACUGGAGUCUGCAACUCGACUCCACGAAGUCGGAAUCGCUAGUAAUCGUGGAUCAGAAUGCCACGGUGAAUACGUUCCCGGGCCUUGCACUCACCGCCCGUC